rnacentral:rRNA from 1 species
UACAGAGGUCUCAAGCGUUGUUCGGAUUCAUUGGGCGUAAAGGGUGCGUAGGUGGCGGGGUAAGUCAGGUGUGAAAUCUCGAGGCUCAACCUCGAAACUGCACUUGAUACUGCCUUGCUAGAGUACUGGAGAGGAGAUUGGAAUUUACGGUGUAGCAGUGAAAUGCGUAGAUAUCGUAAGGAAGACCAGUGGCGAAGGCGGCUCGCUGGGCCGGUCCUGACACUGAGACGCGAAGGCGUGGGGAGCGAACGGG